rnacentral:rRNA from 1 species
UACAGAGGUGGCAAGCGUUGUUCGGAAUUACUGGGCGUAAAGGGCGCGUAGGCGGCCUUGUAAGUCCUGUGUGAAAUCCCCCGGCUCAACUGGGGAACUGCACAGGAGACUGCUUGGCUUGAGUUCGGGAGAGGGAAGCGGAAUUCCGGGUGUAGCGGUGAAAUGCGUAGAUAUCCGGAGGAACAUCAGUGGCGAAGGCGGCCUUCUGGUCCAGUACUGACACUCAAGUGCGAAAGCGUGGGGAGCAAACAGG